GGGGAGUUAGUCCGUAGGGGUAGACUGUAAAUCUACUGUCAUUGCGACUCGGAUGGUUCGACUCCAUCACUCCCCACCA
rnacentral:tRNA from 1 species